GAUGAACGCUGGCGGCGUGCCUAAUACAUGCAAGUCGAGCGAACAGACGAGGAGCUUGCUCCUCUGACGUUAGCGGCGGACGGGUGAGUAACACGUGGAUAGCCUACCUAUAAGACUGGGAUAACUUCGGGAAACCGGAGCUAAUACCGGAUAAUAUAUUGAACCGCAUGGUUCAAUAGUGAAAGACGGUUUUGCUGUCACUUAUAGAUGGAUCCGCGCCGCAUUAGCUAGUUGGUAAGGUAACGGCUUACCAAGGCGACGAUGCGUAGCCGACCUGAGAGGGUGAUCGGCCACACUGGAACUGAGACACGGUCCAGACUCCUACGGGAGGCAGCAGUAGGGAAUCUUCCGCAAUGGGCGAAAGCCUGACGGAGCAACGCCGCGUGAGUGAUGAAGGUCUUCGGAUCGUAAAACUCUGUUAUUAGGGAAGAACAAAUGUGUAAGUAACUAUGCACGUCUUGACGGUACCUAAUCAGAAAGCCACGGCUAACUACGUGC
rnacentral:rRNA from 1 species